rnacentral:lncRNA from 1 species
AACCAUAUCAAUCCUAUUGGUCAGCCCUGAUCAGUGUAGGAGGACACUACACAAGGGGCUGAAUACUGGGCGGCGAGGAUGACUGGAGUGGUCUUAGAGGCUAUCUACUGCACCUUUUAAUAUGCUACAUUAUGAAAGAUGGCCCUGGAGUUGUCUGAUAUUUGCAAGAGCUCUCCAGUCUUCCAGCCCUGCCUCUUUCCCCUCCUUUUAAAAACUCUAGACUUGACGCACACCUGCAAGGUCUUCCUCGGCCCCUCCUCUGAUGUCUGAAACAGCCCUUCACACGUCAGUGGCGCAAGUGGCUGCCUUAUGGAUGACAGAGUUGCUGAGGUGAAAGUAGCUCAUGGCGCGAGAUCCAGCACCUUCUGCAGUAUGGUCAUCCUUGUUACUGGGGCUGAUAGGAUCUGAUGGGAAGAACUCAGCUGUGUCCACCGUCAUUUUGACAGGAGACAUCCUUUUAACUUCAUGAAGCCCCACAUGAUCUGGCCUCUGCCUCUCUGUGAUCACCUCCGCCCUCUCCUCCACCUCACUGGUUCCACCCACACUGACGUCCCUCCUGUCCCAGCCAUUCCUUUUGCUUGGAGUGCUUGUCCCUCUGAUCUUAGCAACAGUGAUUCUCAUCACUCCAUUGUCAGCUUAGUGAUCCCCUCUUCCGAGAGGGCUCUCCUGACCACCCCUUCUAAAGUGGUUCCCAUUCACUCCUUAGCACAUUUUCUUCUUUAAACUUUUGCAGAGCUUUUUUCACCAAUGAUUUUUUUUGUUUACUUAAGUAGUUGCUUGUUUAUUGACUAUCUCUUCCAGCAAUUGAUAAGCCCCAUGAAAGCAGGGGUCCUGUCUAUCUUAUUCCCCCAAAUUGUAGAACAGAGCCAGGCACAUAGUUGGCAUUCAACAGAUAUUUGCUGAAUAGGUGAAUGGAUCAUUUGCUCAACAAGCACUUAUAAAUGCUCCUUGGUAGACAUUAUGGAAUUCAGAAAUUUGAAGCCGGGUACACAGUAGGUUCUCAGUAAAUGCUGGUGCCAGCAUUGCUUUCUUGCAGAUCAGUGGUCAGCCCAGGGAGACCAGACCCACUCCCCUGGCUAUUUCCUUGUAUUACCUCUUGGUGAAUGGCAGCAACAGCUCCCUGGGAGACACUAUAAGGAUGUUUAGGACACAGUACCCUGUGCAAAGGGAGUGCUCAUUUACAUGCAUUUAUCCAUUUUAUUCACUAACCAGUACUCACAUAGUACUGUCAAGAAUUCUGAAUCUGAGACUUUAUCUUACUGGCAAGCUAACAAGUUUGCCUGCCACCAUUUCAUUCUGAUAGAAGAUAGGAGACUCUUGGGUCAGAGAGGAAGGAUAGUUUAUCACUCACAGCAAUUGCAGAGUAUUAGCAUCUUUUUAGUGAUACCUCAAGCCCUGACUUCCGCAGAGUGACACAAAGAGGGCCUGAUGACACCUGCAUGCUCAGUGAGUUACAUGAGGGGAGCCCUGAGCUUAGGGAACUUGACUAUAAUGGACAGUCUGUCUGCUCUUUGCUCUGGAGGGAGACACCAUCUCUAUCUUCCAGAGUUGUUUGAUAUACAUGUCUUUGAAAAGGUAGUCCAGAACAAAGAGCAGUCAGUGCAUCUGCUCACAAGAUGUGCAGAAAUGCUUGGGACCUGUGGAGAAUUGCCUCACAACAAGAAGCCUAGGAGGCCCUCAGAUUUGUUGAAUGAAUGAAUGAAUGCCAGGUGUUGCAUGCAGCAUUAUAUAGUUAAAUAAGACAUAGUUUCUGUCAUUAGAGUUCAUGUCUUCUUGGCCGGGUGUGGUGGCUCACACUUGUCAUCCCAGCCCUUUGGGAGGCUGAGGGGGGUGGAUCACAAGGUCAGGAGAUCGAGACCAUCCUGGCUAACAUGGUGAAACUCCGUCUCUACUAAAGAAUACAAAAAAUUAGCCGGGCAUGUUGGCGGGUGCCUGUAGUCCCAGUUACUCGGGAGGCUGAGGUAGGAGAAUAGUGUGAACCCAGGAGGUGGAGCUUGCAGUGAGCCGAGAUCGCGCCACUGCACUGCAGCCUGGGCGACAGAGCGAGACUCUGUCUCAAA